GCCGCUUUAGCUCAGUUGGUAGAGCACGUCAUUCGUAAUGAUGGGGUCGCGUGUUCGAGUCACGCAAGCGGCACCA
rnacentral:tRNA from 1 species